rnacentral:rRNA from 1 species
AUGAACGCUGGCGGCGUGCUUAACACCUGCAAGUCGAACGAAGCACUUUAUUUGAUUUCCUUCGGGACUGAUUAUUUUGUGACUGAGUGGCGGACGGGUGAGUAACGCGUGGGUAACCUGCCUUGUACAGGGGGAUAACAGUUGGAAACGGCUGCUAAUACCGCAUAAGCGCACAGCAUCGCAUGAUGCAGUGUGAAAAACUCCGGUGAUAUAAGAUGGACCCGCGUUGGAUUAGCUAGUUGGUGAGGUAACGGCCCACCAAGGCGACGAUCCAUAGCCGACCUGAGAGGGGGACCGGCCACAUUGGGAUUGAGACACGGCACAAACUCCUACGGGAGGCAGCAGUGGGGAAUAGUGCACAAUGGGCGAAAGCAUGAUGCAGCGACGCAGCGUGAGCGAAGAAGUAUUUCGGUAUGUAAAGCUCUAUCAGCAGGGAAGAUAAUGACGGUACCUGACGAAGAAGCACCGGCUAAAUACGUG